rnacentral:rRNA from 1 species
AUGUCCUUCCUGGCAUCUGGCCGUGCCCGCCUCCUCCGGGGCAUCUCCAGGCACCGUCCUCCACAGCAAGGACGCUACACCGCGUGCUUCCGGCGUUACAAGGCGCAUUUCUUGCUGGACGGGACUGAUGAUGCAGCGGAGAGCGCCGUCGAAUCGCAGCAACCACCGGUGUCUCUGGCGAAGAGUCUGGCAUCUCUCGCCGAGGAAUCAACCAUUGCUGCUCAGAGGCAGCGGAAGCCCCUGUCCCGGAUGGAGCGGAAGAGGCUGGCCGAGCUCCGGAUAAAAAAGAGGGUCAAGGCGCAGUAUUUGAAUGGCAAGUUUUACGAUCUCAUGGGUAAGGUGGUGGCUACCAUUGAUACGCUGGAGGAUGCUUACGACAUUGUCCGGCUGAACUCUAAUGUCGAUCUGGCAUCUGCAAGGGACGAUGUUUGCUUCAACGCAUUGGCAGAGCAGCUCAGAAGCGGAGAGUUUGAUAUCGCUGCGAAUUCUUUCUCAGUAGCUGCAAAGAGGCAAGGAGGCGAGCGCAUUGUUCUUCCACGGCUCAACUUGAAAGUUAUCCAGGAAGCAGUUAGGGUGGUGCUUGAGGUUGUUUACAGACCUCAGUUCUCCAAGAUAUCACAUGGUUGUCGGAGUGGGCGAGGAUAUCACUCGGCGCUAAGGUUCAUAUCCACUGAAAUUGGGGUUCCAGAUUGGUGCUUUACUGUCCCCUUGUACAAGGAGGUAGAUAGUAAUGUGGUCUUAAAGCUUAUUUCACAAGUACAGGAAAAGAUUGUUGACGACCAGUUAGUGGCAUUCAUGCAAGAUAUGUUUGAUGCCGAGGCGAUCAAUUUGGUAUUUGGAGGGUUUCCCAAGGGCCAUGGAGUUCCUCAAGAAGGAGUACUUGCACCCAUCCUGAUGAAUAUAUAUCUUGACAGUUUUGACCAUGAAGUAUUUAGGAUUUGCAUGAAAUAUGAAGGCCUUUAUUCAGGUGCAACAAAUGUUACAGACAACCAGGGAUCCAAGUUGCGUCUCUGGUUUAGAAGUCAAAUGAAGGACAUGGAUCUAAAUAAUGAAGAUCAAACAGAGGGCCAGCCAAACGUGAGGUUAUAUGCUUGCAGAUACAUGGAUGAGAUUUUUGUUGCAGUUGUGGGGUCCAGAGACAUAGCAGAAACUGUAAAGUCUGAAGUUGUUGAUUACUUAACCAAAUCGCUUUACCUGAAAGUUGAUGAUGGAUUGUGUCUUGUGCCAGUAAAAAAGGACUCUCGGGGGUUGCAGUUUGCUGGCACUGUAGUUAAGGCAACAACAAAAGAAAGUGCUGCACUGAAAACUGUUCAUAAACUGAAGGAGAAGGUCCGUUUAUUUGCUUGUCAGAAGCAAGAGAUAUGGGAUGCUAUGAAUCUUAGGUUAGGAAAGAAGUGGUUGGCAUAUGGUUUGAGAAGGGUAAAGGAGUCUGAGAUCAAGUCACUUGGUCUUAGUACUCCGUUGCUGGAUCACAUUGCACAAUUUAGGAAAGAGGGCAUGAAGACAGAUCAUUGGUUCAAAACUUUACUUAAGGUAUGGAUGCAGGACAUCAAUGCCAAAAAUGAAGCUAAUGAGGAGGUGCUCCUGUCAAAAUACAUUGCUGAACCAGCACUUCCGCAGGAACUCAGAGAUGCUUUUAACAACUUUCAGAAGCAAGCUAAUGAUUAUAUCUCAUCAGAAACUGCUGCUACAGAAGCACUGUUGUCCAGCUUGAAGAAUAAGGAAUCAAUGUAUACCUGCCCUGAUGAUGCUGCCAUUAAGAUUUAUGCGCCUCUUAGUUAUAUCAAGAAGUGCCUCAAUCGCUAUGGUGUAACUAAUCUUGAAGGUUUCCCUAAACAUGUUUCAGCCCUUGUUUUGCAAGAUGAUGAGCUAAUCAUAAGUUGGUUUGCAGGAAUAAUUCAUCGUUGGGUAAGAUGGUUCUCUGAGGUUGACAAUUUUAAAGAGCUUCAACUUAUGUUAGUUGAAUGUGUCAGGAAAUCCUGCAUUCGGACACUAUCUGCAAAGUACCGAAUGUACGAAAAAUUGACAGAAAAGCGGUUUGAACUUGAUGAUUAUGGCAUUCCAAUGGUCGAGGACUUUGAGGCAAUGAUAGCACAGCUAGAACCUAGUUCUUCCUCAGUUUCCGCUGAUGAAGCUCUGACGUAUGGCAUUUCUAGUAGUGGCUUAUGUGUGCUCACCCUCUCAAGAGUUAGAGUCCCUGCUCGGAAAUUCAACUGCUUUGUCAUGGGCUGCCAAUCUUCGUCACCAAGUUUGUACAUCAUUCAUGUGAAGGAGAAACAGCGGUUUCCAGGAUGGAGGACAGGUUUCUCAUCAUCAAUUCAUGGGAGUUUAAAUGGUAGACGAAUUGGGUUGUGUACUCAACAUGUUAAAGAUCUAUAUCUAGGACAAAUCUCCCUUCAGUCAGUUGAUUUUGGUGUGCUGAUUAGAUGA